ensembl:lncRNA
GGAGCGGGAAGCGGCAGCCGGCGGGGCCCCCCGGAGCUGCCCCAGCGCCGAGCAACGGGGCCCGGAGCCGGGUUCUGCCCGUCGGCAUUAUCAAAGUGAGUGCGUAAGCUUAACCUGUGGUGAGCAUACAGCGUGCAACCCGAAAGUGAAACCAGAACUGAGAUUUCACCCGUAACAUCCAGCAGCAAAACACCCUAAGUGGGGCUCCGGUUGUAGGUGCUGUGGUGCCUCAGUGCCCAGGGAUGCCUUUGUCUUCAUCUUCACUUUCUUCCUUCAAGGAUCGAAUGAGCAACUCGCAUUCUUGGAGGUAAAGUCCAAGUUCUAAUUCCUGCCUCACCUGCUGAUCAUCAGGUGGACUGCUGAGGCUCGAGCUCAGGAGCAACCCGUAUUGAAAAGUCUGCAUCCAAAAGGAUGGCCGCUCUUGCCUCUGGUUCUAAAAACUGUACGUAAUGACUCAGCUCUCACUAGAGCCAUAGUGCUGCAUCCAGUUUCCCUGCUGGUGGAAGCUCCAGUAGAACCUUCUCAUCCCCAGAGAAGCACAUGAGAGAAGUCCUAGCUGUCCUAGGAACUCCUUGCUGUAAUGAACUGCAUCCCCAAAGCCUCCCGCAUGCAAGCACCUCUGCAGCACUGAAGCGGUGAAUGAUGGCAUCAGAAGGCAAUAUGGAGAACGCAGUGGCCAGUUUCGUGUGGGACACACCUGAGCAACUGGGAGCUGAUGCUCCACCAAAACUCAAGAUGGAACUCAGCAAGAUCCAGCCCACAGGGGGUACAAGCACAGCACGACGGAGCUGUCACUAGCAGCACUUGUCAGCCUGCUGUACAGCUAUUACGGGCAGCCCUGCUACGUGGAGGGAACAGCAGACAUGCAGUGGUGUUGGUGCAUCAGGCUCAUGACCUCCUAGGGGGCAAUGUUCGGUGAGUAGAGCAGUGCCUUCCUGUUCCAAGAAGUCUAGAUGGCUGGGACUGUGAAGGAGCUCCAAGGAGGCUUUCCAAGUUCUAAGGAGCACACCAUUUUGCAGAGCACCCAAGAGAGAACAUGGGAGCGCUACAAACUGAUGGCAAAGUGGGACAUCACAGCCAACUGCUGCCUGUGUAAGGAGCUGACAAGAAACAAUCCCUCCCUCUCCAUCUGAUAGGCAGGUGUGAACUCAAGAGACAGCCGCACUCAAGGGAAAUCCUGUCAAUGAACCUGCUGCCGUGCAGGAGAGCUCGAGGGGCAGUUGGGCUGUCUGGCAUCUUUGAGGUAGGAUGAGUGCCAGAUUUUGUCUGAGUGCACUCAUAGUUGCCCCCUAGCUGUUACGUCUGACAGCAGUUCUUUUGACCCCCCCAGGCCAAGACGCGUUUGUGACCAUUAAUCUGCUUUCACUAGAACACCAUCAAUACUGUUGCUCACUGUCUUUGUGGGCUAGGCCUAAUGUCCAAGGCCAGGACAAAGGAGGACAUUCAAAGGAAGAAAGCAAGUGUGGAGAGCAUGCUGGCUGUGCUGGGAAGAAAAUCUAGUAAGACCAGUGUUCCCAGUCAGAGUGCCAGGUGGCUUUUACCCCCAGGCAAUGCCCUGAAAAGGACUAGGGAGGGCUGGACUUGGACAGAAACAGCUACACCCCCUCACACCUCCCCUGCCCUUUCUUGCCUCAGCACGCUCCCAUGAGUCUUCUGCCUUUCACCAGCGAUCAUCUGAUCCAGACCUACAGGAAGGCUUCCACUUGCAAAUAGAUGAACUACACUAACUUGUAACAGCAGAUUGAGUAAAGAGUCACAUACCUGAUGUCUAGUCCUGGUUUUCAUACCUGUAAUCCAACCACAGCAAACACAGGGAAGGAAAGCACAAUCACACUUACACAAAAGUCAGAUGUGUACUUGCAAUACAAACAUCAAAGAAACAGACCACCACCCUACUGUCCAGUUGUGUUAAAACACUCUUUAAGACACACAACUGCCCAAAAGAGCCUUCACUGUAAACAGUAACCCCAUACUCUUCAG